rnacentral:tRNA from 2 species
GGGGAUGUAGUUCAAUUGGCUAGAAUGUACGCCUUGCACGCGUUUGGUUACCGGUUCGAGUCCGGUCAUCUCCA